rnacentral:rRNA from 1 species
UACGUAGGGGGCUAGCGUUGUCCGGAAUCAUUGGGCGUAAAGAGCGUGUAGGCGGCCCGGUAAGUCCGCUGUAAAAGUCAAAGGCUCAACCUUUGAAUGUCAGUGGAUACUGCCGGGCUAGAGUCCGGAAGAGGCGAGUGGAACUCCUGGUGUAGCGGUGGAAUGCGCAGAUAUCAGGAAGAACACCAACGGCGAAGGCAGCUCGCUGGGGACGGUACUGACGCUGAGACGCGAAAAGCGUGGGGAGCGAACAGG